AACGAACGCUGGCGGCAUGCCUAACACAUGCAAGUCGAACGAGACCUUCGGGUCUGUGGCCCACGGGUUCGUAACGCGUGGGGACCUGCCCUUAGGUUCGGACUAACCUCCCGAAAGGGGUUCCUAUUACGGAUUAUUUCUUUCGACCAAAGAUUUAUUGCCUUUGGAUGGGCCCGCGUUGGAUUAGCUAGUUGGUUGGGUAAAAGCCUACCAAGGCGACGAUCCAUAGCUGGUCUGAGAGGAUGAGCAGCCACACUGGGACUGAGACACGGCCCAGACUCCUACGGGAGGAAGCAGUGGGGAAUAUUGGACAAUGGGCGAAAGCCUGAUCCAGCAAUGCCGCGUGAGUGAUGAAGGCCUUAGGGUUGUAAAGCUCUUUUACCCGGGAUGAUAAUGACAGUACCGGGAGAAUAAGCUCCGGCUAACUCCGUG
rnacentral:rRNA from 1 species